rnacentral:rRNA from 1 species
GUCCUAGCCGUAAACGUUGGGCGCUAGGUGUGGGCGGAUAUCGACCCCGUCCGUGCCGAAGCUAACGCAUUAAGCGCCCCGCCUGGGGAGUACGGCCGCAAGGCUAAAACUCAAAGGAAUUGACGGGGCCCGCACAAGCGGCGGAGCAUGCGGCUUAAUUCGAUGCAACGCGAAGAACCUUACCUGGGCUUGACAUGCAGGGUGAAACCCGUGAAAGCGGGUGCUCUACGGAGCCUGCACAGGUGGUGCAUGGCUGUCGU